CCUACGGGCGGCAGCAGUGGGGAAUAUUGGACAAUGGGGGGAACCCUGAUCCAGCCAUGCCGCGUGUGUGAAGAAGGCCCUCGGGUUGUAAAGCACUUUCAGUGAGGAAGAACGCCUGGUGGUUAAUACCCAUCAGGAAAGACAUCACUCACAGAAGAAGCACCGGCUAACUCCGUGCCAGCAGCCGCGGUAAUACGGAGGGUGCGAGCGUUAAUCGGAAUUACUGGGCGUAAAGCGCGCGUAGGUGGCUUGAUAAGCCGGUUGUGAAAGCCCCGGGCUCAACCUGGGAACGGCAUCCGGAACUGUCAAGCUAGAGUGCAGGAGAGGAAGGUAGAAUUCCCGGUGUAGCGGUGAAAUGCGUAGAGAUCGGGAGGAAUACCAGUGGCGAAGGCGGCCUUCUGGACUGACACUGCCACUGAGGUGCGAAAGCGUGGGUAGCAAACAGGAUUAGAUACCCCGGUAGUC
rnacentral:rRNA from 1 species